rnacentral:rRNA from 1 species
CGGAGAAGGCGGAUCGUAAGGACCGUUGGAGCGUAUAGAAGUGAGAAUGCCGGUGUGAGUAGCGAAACGAAGGUGAGAAUCCUUCGCACCGAAAACCCAAGGUUUCCAGAGGAAGGUUCGUCCGCUCUGGGUAAGUCGGGACCUAAGGCGAGGCCGAAAGGCGUAGUCGAUGGACAACAGGUAGAAAUUCCUGUACUUACAUAGUGAAUGAAGGAGUGACGGAGAAGGCUAGUUGUACCCACUGUUGGAAAUGUGGGGGCAAGCGAGGUAGCUGGUACGUAGGCAAAUCCGCGUACUGAUAAGGCGAAGGCGUGAUGCAUAUGGAAAGCUACGGCGAGUACAGAAAUCAAUGACGCAAGCUUCCAAGAAAAGCUUCUAGUGUUAAUCAGUAUGUAACCCGUACCGAAAAUGGACACACAUGGGUGAGGAGAGAAUCCUAAGGUGAGCGAGAGAACUAUAGCUAAGGAACUCUGCAAAAUGACUCCGUAACUUCGGGAGAAGGAGUGCUCAUAGAGAUAUGAGCCGCAGUGAAACGGCCCAAGCGACUGUUUACCAAAAACACAGCUCUCUGCUAAGUCGAAAGACGAAGUAUAGGGGGUGACGCCUGCCCGGUGCUGGAAGGUUAAGAGGAUCUGUUAGACUUCGGUCGAAGCAGUGAAUUGAAGCCCCAGUAAACGGCGGCCGUAACGAUAACGGUCCUAAGGUAGCGAAAUUCCUUGUCAGGUAAGUUCUGACCCGCACGAAAGGCGUAACGAUUUGGGCGCUGUCUCAGCUGUAGACUCGGUGAAGUCUUAGUACCUGUGAAGAUGCAGGUUACCCGCGACUAGACGGAAAGACCCCAUGGAGCUUUACUGUAGCUUGAUAUUGGACUUUGAUGCAAGAUGUACAGGAUAGGUAGGAGACGAAGAGACAUGCACGCCAGUGUGUGAGGAGUCGAUGUUGGGAUACUACCCUUCUUGUAUUGGAGUUCUAACCGGGAGCCAUAAGCUGGCUACGGGACAGUGUCAGGUGGGCAGUUUGACUGGGGCGGUCGCCUCCUAAAGAGUAACGGAGGCGCCCAAAGAUACCCUCAGCUUGGAUGGAAACCAAGCGUAGAGUGCAAAGGCAAAAGGGUGUUUGACUGCGAGACCUACAAGUCGAGCAGGGACGAAAGUCGGGCUUAGUGAUCCGGCGGUGCUGAAUGGAAAGGCCGUCGCUCAACGGAUAAAAGCUACCCUGGGGAUAACAGGCUGAUCUCCCCCAAGAGUUCACAUCGACGGGGAGGUUUGGCACCUCGAUGUCGGCUCAUCGCAUCCUGGAGCUGAAGUCGGUUCCAAGGGUUGGGCUGUUCGCCCAUUAAAGCGGUACGCGAGCUGGGUUCAGAACGUCGUGAGACAGUUCGGUCCCUAUCUGUCGUGGGCGUAGGAAAUUUGAGAAGAGCUGUCCUUAGUACGAGAGGACCGGGAUGGACGUAUCAAUGGUGCACCAGUUGUCACGCCAGUGGCAUAGCUGGGUAGCUAAAUACGGAAGGGAUAAACGCUGAAGGCAUCUAAGUGUGAAACCCACUUCAAGAUGAGAUUUCCCAUUACGCAAGUAAGUAAGACCCC